UACGGAGGGUGCGAGCGUUGUCCGGAAUCAUUGGGCGUAAAGGGCGCGUAGGUGGCCCGGUCAGUUCGUGGUGAAAGCGCGGGGCUCAACCCUGCGUCGGCCAUGAAUACUGCCGCGGCUGGAGCACUGUAGAGGCAGGCGGAAUUCCGGGUGUAGCGGUGGAAUGCGUAGAGAUCCGGAAGAACACCGGUGGCGAAGGCGGCCUGACUGGGCCAGUUGCUGACACUGAGGCGCGACAGCGUGGGAGCAAACAGGAUAGAU
rnacentral:rRNA from 1 species